rnacentral:rRNA from 1 species
UGGGGAAUUUUGGACAAUGGGCGAAAGCCUGAUCCAGCAAUGCCGCGUGUGUGAAGAAGGCCUUCGGGUUGUAAAGCACUUUUGUCCGGAAAGAAAUCCUUGGCUCUAAUACAGUCGGGGGAUGACGGUACCGGAAGAAUAAGCACCGGCUAACUACGUGCCAGCAGCCGCGGUAAUACGUAGGGUGCAAGCGUUAAUCGGGAAUUACUGGGCGUAAAGCGUGCGCAGGCGGUUUGCUAAGACCGAUGUGAAAUCCCCGGGGCUCAACCUGGGAACUGCAUUGGGUGACUGGCAGGGCUAGAGUAUGGCAGAGGGGGGUAGAAUUCCACGUGUAGCAGUGAAAUGCGUAGAGAUGUGGAGGAAUACCGAUGGCGAAGGCAGCCCCCUGGGCCAAAUACUGACGCUCAUGCACGAAAGCGUGGGGAGCAAACAGGAUUNGAUACCCUGGUAGUCCACGCCCUAAACGAUGUCAACUAGUUGUUGGGGAUUCAUUUCCUAGUAACGUAGCUAACGCGUGAAGUUGACCGCCUGGGGAGUACGGUCGCAAGAUU